rnacentral:rRNA from 1 species
AGGACUAACGCUGGCGGCGUGCCUAACACAUGCAAGUCGAACGAGGUAGCAAUACCUAGUGGCAGACGGGUGAGUAACACGUAGUCAACCUUCCCGAUAGUGGGGGAUAACUAGCCGAAAGGUUAGCUAAUACCGCAUACGAUCUUCGAGUGGCAUCAUUUGAAGAUGAAAGGAGCAAUCCGCUUUCGGACGGGACUGCGUCCCAUUAGCUAGAUGGUGGGGUAAUGGCCUACCAUGGCAACGAUGGGUAGCUGGUUUGAGAGAGCGACCAGCCACACUGGGACUGAGAAACGGCCCAGACUCCUACGGGAGGCAGCAGUGAGGAAUUUUCCGCAAUGGGCGAAAGCCUGACGGAGCGACGCCGCGUGUGGGAAGAAGGCCUUCGGGUCGUAAACCGACUGUCGAAGGGGAAAUACUGAUGGUACCCUUGGAGGAGCCCGGCUAACUACGCGCCAGCAGCCGC